rnacentral:misc_RNA from 1 species
AACGCACGAGACCUGCGGACCUGCGGAAGGAUCAUUACCGAGUUCUCGCCCCUCGCGGGGUAGACCUCCCACCCACUGUGAUCACUACCGUCGUUGCUUUGGCGGGCCGCUGGGCCCAGCCCACCGCCGGCUCCGGCUGGCGCGUGCCCGCCAGAGGCCCUACAAACGCUGGAUAUCAGUGCCGUCUGAGUACACAUGUUAAUCGUUAAAACUUUUAACAAUGGAUCUCUAGAUCGGAAG